AGGAAGGAGUUGAGAACAAGGUUAACUACCCACCUGCCAAGAUCACAACCAGGCCUGGGAGAAAAAAAAAUCCACAAAAGAAAUGCUGAGACCAUGGAGAAGUGUGUGUACCCUGCUACCUGAGUCCUGAGAAACUUAUCUGUUCAGAAAAUAAAUAUCUGCCUGAUGAAGAGAAUGAGACUACUGACCUAAGACCAUUUUUGAAAGGCAAUUUCAUUCCUCAAAGCUCGGCCAGGAGAAUGGAAGGGAAGACAGGAAUUGUGUGGUUCGAGGUGCCAGACAGCACAGACCACAACCCUGGGCGCCUGGGGAAGGCCAGUGUAGGUGGGGGUCACAGCCCGUGUUAAGAAGAAUGAUGAUGGCAAAAGUCCUGGGGCGGCACCUGGCCUCCCUGCAGCUGGGGUUCAGGCAUGGCUGCCGGGAACGGUGCCAUCUGUAAGGAGGCCAUGGUAAUAAAGCUUCACUGAGCUUUACUUCCUCAUUUGUGUGCCAACAGUUAAAAUGCUGCCAACGGGUUUUCUCUCUCCAGAAGUGUAAGAUGUUGCAAGCAGUAACAAACAAUAAUAGUUACUGUUUAUUGAGCUGUUGUGAACUAGGAACUGUGUGAGAUAUUUUUAUAUAUUAAAAAAAAAAUUUAAGUUAUUUAUUUUGAGAGAGAGUACUAGUGGAGGAAGGGCAGAGAGAGACAGGGAGUGAGAAUCCUAAGCAGGCUCCACGCUGUCAGCAAAGAGCCCGAUGGGGGGCUUGAACUCACGCACUGUGAGAACACGACCUGAGCUGAAAACAAGAGUUGGAAGCUUAACUGACUGAGCCACCCAGGAGCCCUGGAACUGCGUGAGGUAUUUAUAUUCAUGUAAAAGUUUUCACAGCAAAAUGACAGUAUGAUCUCCCCUUACGUGAAGCUUGGAGAGGGGUUGAGUAACUUAUUCAAUGUCAGC